rnacentral:lncRNA from 13 species
AACGAUGAUCCUCUGCACUCGGACCCCCCAAUCCAUAAGAUCUCAACAGAAUGGAUAAUGACCACCGGAAAUCGUGAGAGUGAGUGAUCCUCUC